GAAGUUUCCUGAGCCUCUUAGACAGACCAGCCUAGACUGCCCUGGUUGAGCCUUCUGUCUUGAGGAGGAACCGGGAUUUCUGUAGGAAGACAGUGGAGCACGAGGAGAAUAGAGGCCAAAGGUUCUGCCCACAAGAAAGCAUAAGGGAGAAGACUGAAGCCUUCUCACAGGGUCUUUUCCAGCUACCAACAAACCUGUAGGCCUCAGAUGGUCCUAAUGCACUGAUGCGGUGGAGUAAGAACGAAGCAGAUAAGACAAGUCCAAACAAGUCCAGAUGGCGGCACAUGCGGGAGGACAUAUGUCCUUAAAGUUGGACUAAGACUUGGAGAUCAACUCAAGAGCAUCGUUCUAGUGACCAUUGUUAGGACUCCAAUGUCCUCCCCACAGCAGGUGGGACCUACCUGAGACAGACAGAAAAGACCUCAAAAGCCGAGGCUGAGAACAACCGAAUGCACUGAAUAAAGACCCUCUCUGUGGA